rnacentral:rRNA from 1 species
CAGUCGCCGCGGGAAUACGUAGGGUGCGAGCGUUAAUCGGAAUUACUGGGCGUAAAGCGUGCGCAGGCGGUUGUGUAAGACAGGUGUGAAAUCCCCGGGCUUAACCUGGGAACUGCGCUUGUGACUGCACAGCUAGAGUAUAGCAGAGGGGGGUGGAAUUCCACGUGUAGCAGUGAAAUGCGUAGAGAUGUGGAGGAACACCGAUGGCGAAGGCAGCCCCCUGGGCCAAUACUGACGCUCAUGCACGAAAGCGUGGGGAGCAAACAGGAUUAGAUACCCCCGUAGUCCCUGUCUCUUAUAC